CUGGGUUGGAUCAAUAUGAAAUAUGAACCCACAGCAACGCCCACAUGCUUAUGCUCUCACGUAGAGUUGAGUAUCUCUGGGGAAGCCCACCCCCUGAGUAUCCACCAGGGGGGACAACAGUGAGUGGAUGAAGCUUCCCAUCGACCAGAAAUGAGUGACAUUCUCUGCAGUUUACUUCAACUCACUCGGUGUGGAAAGCCCAUCUGAAUUGAUAUGGAAAAUCUUCUGAAGUUGUUCCAGAGGAUAGAAGAUGAGAAGAGUCCAGAGUGGGGGAAGUAGCUGGGAUUCAUAAAGAAGUUUGUCACUGGCUCAAAUGCCGUGGCUCAGCUUAAAGGCCUGGAGGCCGUCCUGGCGUUGACUGAAAACACUCAUGUUUCUGGGAAGUAAGUCAUGGUUGCAACAGGAAUUUUCAUUUUUAAAAAGGCUGGAAUGAGUGUUGGCA